UUAAUUGAAGAGUUUGAUCAUGGCUCAGAUUGAACGCUGGCGGCAGGCCUAACACAUGCAAGUCGAGCGGUAACAGAUUGAUAGCUUGCUAUCAAUGCUGACGAGCGGCGGACGGGUGAGUAAUGCCUGGGAAUAUACCCUGAUGUGGGGGAUAACUAUUGGAAACGAUAGCUAAUACCGCAUAAUCUC
rnacentral:rRNA from 1 species